rnacentral:ncRNA from 1 species
UAUAGGUUUGGUCCUGGCCUUCCUAUUAGCUAUUAGUAAAAUUACACAUGCAAGUAACCGCACCCCCGUGAGAAUGCCCUCUAAAUCUAUAUUCGAUUAAAAGGAGCAGGUAUCAAGCACACCAAUAGGUAGCUCACCACACCUUGCUAAACCACACCCCUACGGGAUACAGCAGUGAUUAAAUUUAAGCAAUAAACGAAAGUUUGACUAAGCUAUACUAACACCCAGGGUCGGUAAAUUUUCGUGCCAGCCACCGCGGUCAUACGAUUAACCCAAACUAAUACAACUCGGCGUAAAGUGUGUUUAAGACCUCCAUAAAUAAAAUUAAAUUUUAUCUAAGCCGUAAAACGCCCUAGCUAAAAUAAAAUUAAGCAACGAAAGUGAUUUUAAUAAUCUGAAAACACGACAACUAAGACCCAAACUGGGAUUAGAUACCCCACUAUGCUUAGCCGUAAACCCAAGUAAUUAAUAAACAAAAUUACUCGCCAGAGUACUACAAGCAAAAGCUUAAAACUCAAAGGACUUGGCGGUACUUCACAUCCCUCUAGAGGAGCCUGUUCUAUAAUCGAUAAACCCCGAUAAACCUCACCACUUCUUGCUAAUUCAACCUAUAUACCGCCAUCCUCAGCAAACCCUGUAAAGGUUUAAAAGUAAGCAAAAACACCAAGCAUAAAAACGUUAGGUCAAGGUGUAGUCCAUGAAGUGGAAAGAAAUGGGCUACAUUUUCUAACAUAAGAACAACACACCAACAACAAUCUUUAUGAAACUAAAGACCAAAGGAGGAUUUAGCAGUAAAUUAAGAAUAGAGAGCUUAAUUGAAUAGGGCCAUGAAGUACGCACACACCGCCCGUCACCCUCCUCAACCUCCCAGUAUCAACUCAUUAAUUACAAUUAACUAAUCAAGAGGAGACAAGUCGUAACAAGGUAAGCAUACUGGAAAGUGUGCUUGGAAUAUU